rnacentral:rRNA from 1 species
AGUGAACGCUGGCGGUAGGCCUAACACAUGCAAGUCGAACGGCAGCACAGUAAGAGCUUGCUCUUACGGGUGGCGAGUGGCGGACGGGUGAGGAAUACAUCGGAAUCUACUUUUUCGUGGGGGAUAACGUAGGGAAACUUACGCUAAUACCGCAUACGACCUACGGGUGAAAGCAGGGGAUCUUCGGACCUUGCGCGAUUGAAUGGGCCGAUGUCGGAUUAGCUAGUUGGCGGGGUAAAGGCCCACCAAGGCGACGAUCCGUAGCUGGUCUGAGAGGAUGAUCAGCCACACUGGAACUGAGACACGGUCCAGACUCCUACGGGAGGCAGCAGUGGGGAAUAUUGGACAAAGGGCGCAAGCCUGAUCCAGCCAUACCGCGUGGGUGAAGAAGGCCUUCGGGUUGUAAAGCCCUUUUGUUGGGAAAGAAAAGCAGCAGGUUAAUACCCCGCUGUUCUGACGGUACCCAAAGAACAAGCACCGGCUAACUUCGUG